rnacentral:tRNA from 1 species
GCCUCGGUGGUGUAAUAGAAAGCACGGCAGACCGGAUAUCUGUAAGCGCGGGUACGAGUCCCGCCUGAGGUC